AAAAGUUUAAGGAUAAUCUAGGUAGAUACAACUAAUAAAUGGGAACAUCGCCUAAUACACACAAGGGGACUGAGAUUAACAUGGGACAGGAUCAGCCGUACUACCACUUGUAUGUCAUUGGGGAUCUGUAUGCCUAUGUUGGGUGCCCGUGUCCAAGCAUGUGCCGGUUCGGUGGGCUGAUUGUCAUUGAUGGCCCCUGGGUGGGUUUUUCGGCGACUGAUCUCGGUCAUCUCCGCAGUGUUGAGAGCGCCAGCCUCCCAGAUUUGCCUGAUAACUUUGGCGUCUUUCCGCAUUGUAGUGAUGUCCU
rnacentral:lncRNA from 1 species